UACAAUUAAAUAAGACAUCACAAAGCAAUAAUAAUCUCUAUAAUCUACUUAAGCAAUUCAUAAACAAAAAUAAUCGAACAAUCUAUAAAAAGAGGCACUAUAAUUUUAAUAUAAAAAUUCUUUCAAAGUGAAUCUUUCGUUAUAUAGAAUAAUAGGAUUACUGCAGGUCUUUUCUAGAUCAACUAGAGGCUAUAUAAAUUGUUAUCCAGUUAGACAACCCA
rnacentral:lncRNA from 1 species